UGGUAUAGCUCAGUCGGUAGAGCAGCUCAUUCGUAAUGAGCAGGUCAUGGGUUCGAGUCCCACUUCC
rnacentral:tRNA from 1 species